rnacentral:tRNA from 1 species
GGGUCGGUGCCCGAGUGGCCAAAGGGAGUUGACUGUAAAUCAACCGGCGUCGUCCUACGGAGGUUCGAAUCCUUCCCGGCCCACCA